UAACACACUGUUUCACACUUAUUUCUUUUUAUCAAAGAUCAAUCGUCAAUUAAAAAAAUCUCAAGGGUCGACAUGACACGGUACCGGCGACCAACAUGCAAAACCAGCAAUCCAUGCGGUCGGGCAUGCAAAAGAGGCCAAGGACGCGCACUCGCGAAGGAGAUUAAGAAACCAUCAGACCAAUCCAACACAGUUCCAGUUGCCCGGUCAGCCAGUCUCCUCGCGCUCGCGCGCGCGCGCGCACGAUCG
rnacentral:lncRNA from 1 species